ensembl:lncRNA
CAAAUAUAUUGCUAAUUUAGGGUCACUGAGGUACAUCCCAUUCCCAGCAACACCCCUCAUCCCUGCUGCCUACACAUUGGAGCCACAGGGAGACCUCUCAACAAGCCAAGAUGUCCUCCCUCCUUCCCCAUCAAAUCUUCUGAACCAAAUUCACCACAAUCCUACACCAGCAUUCAAAGAUCAGCACAACACACCAUCCCAUCAAGAUAUUAUUAAUCUAUCUGGAUUUUCAACCAUUAGCAAUACUGACCACUUUGACUCAAUAUCCACAACUUCUCCAAGUGGUGGUCUCAAAUUCAAUGCCAGCCGGAAUGCCAGUCAACUUUUCAAUGAUCGAACAUCAUCAUCAUCAGCUCACGAUAUUGGCUACACUGAACGGAUAGACAACGAAACUAAAAUGGCGACCGCUAGUGGUUGGAAUAACAGCAGUAAUGUUACACCUUCCUCUUCUUCUGUUGUUUCUUAUUCUGAGCUAAACAACUCUCUUGUUGGAACCAACAUUAGCCAGAGCAAUGCUAGUGGCCACACUGAAGAUCUCUCUGUGACUUUGGAGGACUGUCCUCAUCCGAAUGGAUCUGUGGUGGUGCUGGAAACAAGUGAUCCGUUAGCCGAUCACGUUGAUCCUAUGUCAGCCCCUGACAUCAUUGACUUCUACACUCAUCGGAUAGAUUCUGUCUCGGUCACCGAUGACCUUGGCAACACUAGUCUUAGUUUACAUCGUAACAACACUAACGUUACUGUCACAGUAGAUACUAGUGCAAUAGUUACUGAGACGGCAGCGCAGGCUGAACCGAACACAGACUUGAUGCUGGGCCUGGAGGAGGAGGAAGAGCGGGAAGAAGAGGAGGAGGUAGAGCGGGAAGAAGAGGAGGAGGUAGAGUGGGAAGAAGAGGAGGAAGAAGCCAGUGGCCAUCUUAAUACUACUCAGGAUGCUUCACUCUCAGACCCCCUGAUCGACAAUAUUAAUCAUGCUUAUGUGAUAACAGGUGACUAUAAUGUUAGCGCUGAGGCUAAUGGCUCUGUGAUAACAGGUCACUAUAAUGUUAGCGCUGAGGCCAACUACUCAUCCUCAGUUGCUAUUAGUGGCUUCAGCGACAAAUUGUACUUUAUAAAAGAAGAAGCUCACAAUGAAAGUCAGGAAGCCGUUACCCUUUCCUCUUCCGCCAUUGGCUACACUGAAUAUGAAGAUUCCAUCGAAGCGACCAAUGACUACCAGAGUACUGUUACCAGCGGAGACGAAGGAACAUCACCUACGGUUACUAGUACCAGCGUGGAGCAGAGUGGCGAGAAUGAGAACCAGGAAGUGCUUCCUAUUGCGGCUCCUAUGAUUGGGUAUCCUUCCUUGGAGUCUGUGGAUCCUAAUGAAAGCACCACAAAGUCAACUGUUG